CUCUCGGCUCCAGGAGAUGACUUCUUCAGGUCCAUAUCACUGAGGCUGUGAGUCUCAGCUAAGGAAACACCCAUGAUUCAUGGGCAUCUCUUACCCCAGCUCUCUGCCUCUUUCUGGAUGUGACCUCUACCUCCCCACCCCAUCCAUCUAGACUGCUGUGUCUGGCCUCAGUAGCAGAGGAUGUGAUCACAGAGACUGGAUAUGCAAGAGAACCCGGGGCCGAUCCCCAGCUCCCAAGUGACAGCUCACAAGUGGCAGUAAUUUCCGCAUUACGGAAUCUAACACCCUCUUCAACCUCCUGGACACUAGGCAUGGAUGUGCUGCACACGUGAACAAGCAGACUUAAAGGGAAGGCACAUCUCGAUGUCUGCACAGUAACGAGGUCAUCAGAGAAGAUUUUUAAGAUGUGUACAGUGAGCCAUGAAAGUGAAGAAGGAUCAAGCAAACAACACCAGACCCCUUCAUGCCACAACCUUUAAUAUGACAGCUGGUAUCUGUAACUUAAUAAUUACUGUCUCUUUAUAGAAUACGUUUUCUUAGCAGGAAUAUUACUGUGUAGGCUUUAAAUGUGUGUUUUCUUAAUAUUGUUCAUGAUAUUCUAUCAAUCAGAC
ensembl:lncRNA